UGCAAAAUUUACGUUGAAUUUAGCAACGGAUUAUCCGUUGCUAAUUGAAAAAAAAAAUUAAAAUGUUAAUAUAAAACUAAAAUUAUGUAGACCGUUGAUUGCAUAAAAUCUGAACUGUUUAUUUUCACUCUCUCCCCCCACACCAAAAUACAGAUCCAACAACCAUUUACGCUAAAAAUUAAUUCACUUCCACUCUUCCAGUAUCCUUCUUCGUCCCCAAUAACAUCGAUUCCUAACUGUUCAAAAAUCACCCUCUCUUCAUCGAUUUCAUCUUCCUUUACCCGAAACUGUUCAUCAUCUUCGCACUCGUCUUCAGCAACCCUAUUUUUUUUCUUCAUCUUCUUCUCCUUCAUCUAACAGUUUCAAUAUUUCUCUGCAAACCAACAAAAACAGAGACCCAUGGCAACAUCGCACCAGAUCCAUCAUCAUCACCAUCGAACAUCCUGUUUUACCCCUUCUCUGUAAACGGGUUAGGUUUUGCACUGUUUUCUUCGAUAGCUCAGGUGUUAUUCUGUCGUGUUGAUCCAUCUCCCUCACCUGUAACUGAAGAACACAGGUUUUUAAGCGUGGCAUCAAGUUAUCUUCCUCAAUAAUUAAUCAGCCUUUGGGUUCUUCUUGGCACGAAAGCGGAGCAGUGGAUUUCAAGUAGCAUCCACUCAUCGGCCAUGUACAAAAGGAACUGCCACAUUAGAGAACUGACCUUGAUGGAACUCAGUACAAUCUCUUACUGUUAGACAGUGAAGGAAUAGAUGCCUAUGAUCAAACACAAUAUGAAUGGCUUAUUGGAUCACAAUAUGCUACAUCUGAUUGGGUUGUAAUAAGAAAACCUCCACCUUGUGCCAUUGAUUCUUGGGGCUUAGGUAAGUCUAUUUUGCUCCAUUUUUACAUGGUUGUUUAAUUAUAUCGUGCGUAAUUUUUCUGUUGGGCAUGCCUAUUGUAAUCUUUUCAAGUAGUUGGAACUUUGCCUUUCAUUGGGACAAUAUUGACAGUUUGUAUAA